GGCUACCUACGGGGGGCAGCAGUGGGGAAUAUUGCACAAUGGGCGAAAGCCUGAUGCAGCAACGCCGCGUGAAGGAAGAAGGGUUUCGGCUCGUAAACUUCUAUCAACAGGGACGAAAGAGAUGACGGUACCUGAAUAAGAAGCCCCGGCUAACUACGUGCCAGCAGCCGCGGGAAUACGUAGGGGGCAAGCGUUAUCCGGAAUUACUGGGGGUAAAGGGGGAGUAGGCGGCAUGGUAAGGCAGAUGUGA
rnacentral:rRNA from 1 species